UUAUUUUGAAAAAAAAUCAGAUUUAUAAUUCAUAGUAUUUGUGGAAUGACAGAAUAAACAUUUAUUUUGUCAUGAUAUGAAAUAUGAACUGUCAAUGUUUUGCCAUACUAAUUACUGAAUACUGAUGGUUUUAUUAGAUCUAAUUAAUUCAUUGAUUAUCAUCAUCGAUGAAAAUAUUAUUACAAUAAAAGUUAGUUUUUAUAAAAUAAUUCUGAAAAUCAUUAAACAAGUGUCUAAAACCUGAGUUAACAUGUAGGUAAUUAAUUAUCUUGAGUCUAAAAUUAAUCAUUUUUCAUAUGAUCUUAUUUGUUUCACAGUUCAGUGAUUACUAAUUUAUUAUAAUAACAACAGUCAACCACAACAAAGUCAAUUCAUGCUAAUAUUAAUGCUAACAACACUCAACUAGAAAAGAUUGAUACUGCUGAAUGCAAAUGUGCUAUGUUGCUUGUGGGUCUGAGAGAAAACCAACUGACAUCUUACGUCCACUAAAUUUAAUAUUUUUACACAAACUGUAAAGCCUUACUUGUUGUCCAUUUACUACACUGGCCAAAUCAUUCCUUGAACGUACUUCUAAUGUUCUCAGAGUAAUCAAUGUUACCAUAAAACUGAUAGAGAGACGGAUGUUGGCCCAUUAGUCUCAGAAGAGAAGCAUGGUAUGACUCAAUAAAAUUAUUCGUCCUGUAUUGGAGUCGAUACACUGUAAAUCUUAGUGGACCUACAGUGUCCAUCCAAUACCUUUGAAAAUAUUGCAUCAAAUCAUGCAGCUCCUCUCCAAGAUAUCAGAACAAUGAAUUUGUAUGAGACAACUAACCCAAUUCUUGUACAACAUCAAACCCUAGUUGAAUUGAAAAGAGACCACGGUGGAAUCUAAUUUCAUUGGCCGGCAAAUGAGCUAUAUUCUAACCACAUCAUUGAAAACUAUUUGAAUGGUAAAUAGUUGUUCAAUGUCUGGAGGUUGUCUUGGUCGAACUUGAAACGUCCCGUCCAUGCACACAGUUCGAACAGCCCGAAGAUGUA